UACAGAGGGGGCAAGCGUUAUUCGGAAUUAUUGGGCGUAAAGGGCGCGUAGGCGGCCAUUCAAGUGACGGGUGAAAGCCCUCGGCUUAACCGAGGAACUGCCUGUCAGACUGGAUGGCUUGAGACCGGGAGAGGUGAGUGGAAUUCCCAGUGUAGCGGUGAAAUGCGUAGAUAUUGGGAGGAACACCAGUGGCGAAGGCGGCUCACUGGCCCGGUACUGACGCUGAGGUGCGAAAGCGUGGGGAGCAAACAGG
rnacentral:rRNA from 1 species